rnacentral:misc_RNA from 1 species
UGCAAUCAUUUGUCAGUCG